UCCACCUCUCCCCUCCCCUCCCCUCGCGCAGCCGCCACCCACCUCAACCACACCUUCUUCCUGUCCCGAUUCCCACCCACAUCGCCGCCGCUGCCGCCGGCCUAUGCCCUCCCCCCACACCGCCGCCGUGAAACCCCCUCCUCACCUUCUCUCCCCGGUUGAGCAGCAGCAGGUCAGGCGGAGGUGGCAGCCAGAUCCGCCGCGUUGCUUCCGGAUCCGCGCCCUCCCCACCCUCGAUUCAUUUCCAAUCCCACCACCGACACCCAACCCCACCCCCACCGGCGACCUCCCCUAACCCCAUCACCACCGGCGACCUCCCUCCCUUGCUCCUCAACCCAACCCAACCCAACCCCGAUUCGAUUCUGUUCAGAGAAGAAUCCCCUCCCACAUCGCCGCCGCCGCCACACACUGCCGAUCCCCUCACAUCCGGCCGGUGGCCAUGACCUCCGGUAUCUCCCCGACAGCCGCCACUCCCGUACCCUCUCCCAUCCCGUCCCCUCCCCUGCCCUCACCAGAAGAGGAAGAGAAGAGGUAGGGAGAUCGAGCGAGCUGGUCAGGCAGCCGCCAUGGCGCGACCAGAUCCGCCACGGUUGCCUCGCGCGCUGUCCACGGGCUCGACUCCAGGGACUGGGUCAUGGUCUGCGAGGCCCUCAACGACACGCGCCGCCUCGCCAUCCACCACCCCGCCCUCCUCGCCCCCAUCCUGGAGAAGGUGGUGCUGGGGAUCUUGAAGACGGUGAAGAACCCGUGCAGCGCCGUGCUCAAGACCUCCAUGAUGGCGUGCACAGACGUCUUCUUGAGCAGCAGCUGUAGCAGCAGCUUGUCCAAGCCAAUGCGUGCCAUGGCCACCUCCAUGCCGCCCCUGCCCCUGCUGAGGAAGCUCCAAACUAUGAAUAAACAAAAAGAUUCCUCUACAUUAGUGAUGAAUUAUCCUUUCGUUCUAAUCAUGCACAAGUAUGCAGCAUCUGUCCAUGAGUAUAGUUGGAUCAUGGAAGGAAGCAGUGCGCUGUUGAUGAUUGAGUGGAGGGUGCACUGUUCGUUUUUGCAUUUGCAUGCAUGGCUCCAAAAUGUCUGAAUUGGGUCCAAACGAAACCAUGCAUCAGGUCUAGAGCUUUUAUAACCAGCAAGAGUUGGAGUUCAUAUAUAUUUCUCCAAAAAUUAUACUCUCACUGUGUAGAAUCUUUUGGGCCUGAAUCAUUGAUUGAGUUUAGGUCAAAAGCAUCUGUAUGCCAAUAGUGUUGAUGUUGUUUUGUGCUAUAUACUUCAGGGAAUAGUUAACUCAUUAAUUAAGAUGCCGAGGUACUAUCAACUAGAUCUGUUCACACACAUACUUUAGUAACCAGCUCCAUUAAUCAUCUGAUCAGCUAUGUAAACUAAUCACUGAAUCUGGAAAUUAUGUGCUUUGAUAGAACACGGAAACUAAUCAAAUGCAGAAGAGUUGUUUCAGUUUGAGUUCUGUUUGAAAUGUUGCAACUUCAGAAUUCUGGGAACUUUCCAUAAAGUUUGCAUCAGUUUAGUGGGUUCACCUAUAUUAUGUUGUUGGAAGCUAGUUCAUGAUGAACUGAUUUAACUCUCUACUGGAAUAUUAGUGUUUUUUAUGGGAGGAAUAUAGUGUAUUUGUUGAUGUAAAUUUGUUUGGGUUUAGACCUAUGCUUCCUCCACUGUUUUGUAGAGUUGGCUAAUUUUAGAUGCUGCAUAAUAACCUUUAAGGCUGUGGCCAAUUUUAGAUGCUGCAUAAUAAUCUUUGUACUGCAUAAUAAAAAAUUGCAGUACCGAAGAUGAAUGGUCGAUUAGUUUUAGCUUCAAGCCAUUUUAGUAUAUUCUUUGUACAUGUGGCCUGUGGCUAUAACUAGUUUGAUGUAGUUCAUCCGUGAUGUCCAGUAGCUAUGAGAUCCGAGGGAUGCCGACCAUUCGAGCCACGUAACUUAUUCAGCUUUCACUCUACAAUCUUGCUAAUUUAAAGUCAGUGGGGGGCUUUCCCCCACUGUCCAUGGUUCCUAAAAAAACGUAUUCAGCUUUGGCCAUCCUCAUUUGCUAUGCUAGGUAUAAUGUAAACUCUCUUCUGAAUUUGAUUUGUACCAGUUUGACUUUCCUAAGUUUCUUUUCUUGUUACCAGAGCUUACACUAUCUUUCUAUAGGCGCCGCCGGAUUCGAGGGUGGAGCCCGAGCCUCCACUGGAGCAUGGAUCAGCCGUGUAGGAGGUGGAGCUCCGCAUGGAUCACGACUUGGUCGUCAUGGGGGCCUGGACCAUCAAGCUCGCGGGCGAGAUGGACGGCCUCGGCAACGGAGGCGCGCAUGAGAUCCUGGGGUUGACCAAUCCACGGGGCACCAGAUCUUCCCUGGGGGUCGCCUGCUGUAGUCAUACUGUCGCUGGAUCUCCUCCCCCCUCUCUCUCUCUGUGUUUUUUCUGUCAAUAGCUAGUAGCAUAAGUUGGAGCUGGCUGUACCAGGAACUUAAUCUACAUUUAUUCAACUAGAUCAAGUACAAGUACAUUAGUUCGUAAUCUGCUAUUAAUACAUCUCCUGGUCAUAAAUUUCCUGAAGUAGUGCAUGUAUAUAUUUAGGUGUUGGUUAAUUAGAAAAUGGAUGUGAUUUGUAACUUGAUUGUUGUAGGCUACAAGAUAUAUCUCUGUUGGUUCAUCUUGCUGUAGAAUAUGCCCAUGUUCAUUCAUUUAUGUGUAUUGCUAUUUACCUCUGGUGACAUGUGAGAAGCACUCAUCUAUAUGUUUAUAUUUUGAGCAGCUGGGUACAACUACAGUUGCAGAAUCAUCUAGCCAAAUUUUGGGAGGAUGGCAUAAAAUAUUAGAUAACCCAUGCUUCUGAAAUCAUGGUAGGCUUCACAAGCUUGUAAGGUGUUUUCUGUUUUCAAGCGACUUUACAUCAAGUUACUGUUUCUCAACCAAAAUUCUAGACUGUAUAGCUCUUUAUUGUUCUCUCCACUUAUUUGUACAGCCAAGGAUGCUUACUUAACUGUAUAGCUCUUUAUUGUUCUUUUUCAGGUAUUCCAUUUAUGCUCCAUCCCGAAAUCUAUUGUGCACUGCCAAGUCCAUGAGGCGAAGCGCUCACUGCUUGACCAUUUCUUUACUGAACUGGGAGCAACAGAGGCAAGAUAUUCGAAACAAGUUGAAGUCCUUUCAAUUCUUGAUUUCUAGCAUACACAUGCAACCUGAUUGGUGAUGUUACUGUAGAUAUGAUAAGCUCAAGUGUGAAGUGUGAAGUCGUGAAGUGUGAAACAAGUGUGAAGCAGUGAAGUCCUACUCAGUGAACAGUAGCAUACUGUAGCAUAUAUGUGUUGUACAGAGUGUAAUAGAUUUAUUUAGUGGUAUAUUUGAUGAAUUUUAUGUGUUCUUUGUUCUUUUUGAAAUAUUGGUUAUGUAUGUAAUUUGAAAA